UACGUAGGGUGCGAGCGUUGCCCGGAAUUAUUGGGCGUAAAGGGCUCGUAGGCGGUCCGUCACGUCGGGAGUGAAAACUUGGGGCUUAACCCCAAGCCUGCUUCCGAUACGGGCGGACUAGAGGUAGGCAGGGGAGAACGGAAUUCCUGGUGUAGCGGUGAAAUGCGCAGAUAUCAGGAGGAACACCGGUGGCGAAGGCGGUUCUCUGGGCCUUACCUGACGCUGAGGAGCGAAAGCGUGGGGAGCAAACAGG
rnacentral:rRNA from 1 species